AGAGUUUGAUCAUGGCUCAGGAUGAACGCUGGCGGCGUGCCUAACACAUGCAAGUCGAACGAAGCACAUACGACAGAACUCUUCGGAGGGAAGAUGUAUGUGACUGAGUGGCGGACGGGUGAGUAACGCGUGGGUAACCUGCCCUAUACAGGGGGACAACAGUUGGAAACGACUGCUAAUACCGCAUAAGCGCACAGUACCGCAUGGUACAGAGCGAAAAAACUCCGGUGGUAUAGGAUGGACCCGCG
rnacentral:rRNA from 1 species